CAGUCGCCGCGGGAAUACGGAGGAUCCGAGCGUUAUCCGGAAUUAUUGGGUUUAAAGGGUGCGUAGGCGGAUAGAUAAGUCAGUGGUGAAAGACGGUGGCUCAACCAUCGCAGUGCCGUUGAUACUGUUUAUCUUGAAUAUGGAUGAGGUAGGCGGAAUGUGGCAAGUAGCGGUGAAAUGCAUAGAUAUGCCACAGAACACCGAUUGCGAAGGCAGCUUACCAAGGCAAAAUUGACGCUGAGGCACGAAAGCGUGGGGAUCGAACAGGAUUAGAGACCCCGGUAGUCCCUGUCUCUUAUAC
rnacentral:rRNA from 1 species